CAAAGCGCAGGCUACGCUCGUAGAGGCUCUGACCGGUGCGAUCGCGGACGCGGGUUCGAUUCCCGCCGCCUCCAUCG
rnacentral:tmRNA from 1 species